GUCCAAGAGGACACGCCCUAUCCCGGAAGCCCUGCCCCCGGCCAGUAGCGUCCGUCCCCGGGACACGCCCCGGCCCGUCCGGAUUGCCCCCAGCCCUCUGGGCUGGUAGGGGGGGAGGGGCGUCCCGCCAAUCUCAGGCAUUGGGGCCUCUGAGACGCUCCCAACCGACCCAGGGUGGUCAGGCUCGAGAACUGGCCCUGCCACAACUGACCGCCUAUCGUUUGGCCCUCCGAUUUCCCUGGAACGCAAAUCGAGAGUCCACAGAUAUUUAUGGAGUCUAUUGUAUGCUGAGAACACAACCAGGGUUGAGAGGAACAAGCACUGCUGUUGUGGAGCCCAAACUCUAGUGUAACAGGAUGAAGAUUAAAUUAAAAUGCAAUAGAAGACCAAAGGCAGAAAAGUUAGAAGUCACAGCCGGGACAACUAAGAAGUGUGUAUUCCCACUCCUUAGUGGGGAAAGCUGCAUGCAGGAAACAAGGUGCGUGGAGGGGAGUCAAGCAACCUGCCUGGUCUGAGAAGGCCACCUGGAGCAGGGGUCACUGCAGCUGACUUUGGGGAAGGGAGCAGCUGAGUUUCCUGCUGGCUUGGUAAAUUCCCGGGGGGGGUUCAACAGUGGCAGAGCCUGUCUAGGCCUGGCCAGAUGGACAAGAAUGGGGCAAAGGUGACUGCCCAAGCAGGCCCUGACCAGGCAUCCUAGACUUUGCUGGAACUUGCCUGGCUCUGAGCAGAAUGCUCUGGAAUGGGGGUCAAGUAGGGGGAGCUCAGGGAAGGAGAUAGGGGAACUAACAAGAUAGGCAACUGGGCAGCCUCCUGCUGGACCUGCAUUGCCCAACACUGGAGUCAUCUGUCCCAGAUUCCUUUCAUAAUGGGAUAAAAUGUACCCACAGUGAGGCCUGAAGUGGGGCCUGGUAGAGACCAGUGACUUCAGUGGCAGGACAGUUGGGUCCCAGGAAAACCAGAGAAGCAUACACAUUCCUUGGCUUCCUGUCCCCAGCAGCUGCAGGAAGCUGCUCCAAGCUCCCAGCUGUGCCCAGCAACCCCUAAGGACAGGAAAAAGUCUUGUAUCUUGCCAUCCCUCUGAUUGGACACAGAGAGAGUCCUGGAUGGGGUGACUGAGUACUCAACGACAGGCCCCAAGGGAGGAGGUGGGGCUGCAUGUCAACGUUUGGGGAGGCAGCUUAGGUCUUGUAUGGGACAGAGCCUGUGGCAAAGGUCCCCAACCUUCCUUAAUUUCAUAAUCUGAAAAGGCUGUUAACACUUUUCCCAGACAAUCACUCCCUACACACACAAUCUUGCCUAUCAUUUAAAAGGAUUCUGGGAUGCCUGGGUGGCUCUGUUGGUUGAAUCUCCAACUCUUGAUUUAGGCUCAGGUCACGAUCCCAAGGUCACGAGAUCUAGCCCAGUGUGGCACUUCACACUGGACAAGGAGCCUGCUUGGGAUUUUCUCUCUGCCUCUGCCCCUCUCAUCUGCUAACACAUUCUCUCUCUUCAAAAAUAUAGAUAGAUGAUAGAUAGAUAGAUAGAUAGAUAGAUGAUAGAUAGAUUGAUCCUAAUCAGGCUUGGAGCUUCUGGAGUGUGCUUAGUUAAGGUCAGUGAAAUUCCAGUCUGUUUCUGCCUCUGCUGGCUGUGAGUCAUGGGUCAUCUCCAGGCCAUCUUGGCUUGCACUGCCCUCUGGAGCCUGAGAAGUUGGACUAGGGGAGCUUCUAGGGGCCCAUCUGCUCUGCCAUCUCCUUGGAGCUAUUUCAAGUCAUCCUACUGGAGACUCUAAAAGAAAGAACAUCUUUAAACCCAGCUGAGAAUCUAGACCUGCACUCACCAGAGCUGGGCUGUCCCACUCACACUAGGCUUCCCCAGCUUCCCAACAGUAUCUAUGAUCAGCCUACCUUCCUCCCACCCAGAUGAGUCUGGCAGUCAAUACAUGGGCCUCUGGGAGCUUUUGAGGCCUCUCAAUCAUACAUACACUUAUCAACACACCUUCUGUUUUUCUUUUCAUUUAUUGGUUCUAACAGUCAUUUGACAUAUUUACUUAGCACUUGCUACAUAUCAGGCCUUGGGCUAAGUGUAGCAUAAGUCCAAAUCAUGCCCAUAGUUCUGGGUCCUGCCCGAGUCUCAUGCCCUCCCAAUUGGUUCAUCUUGAAACUAAAUCCUUCUUCCAAUAAUUUGGAGCUUUUUGGUAAGCUGCCCAGUGUAGCCACCUCUAAGCAGAGCCUGCCCUUGUUAAUCAUUUCUUGUUACCUCCUGCUGUCAACCAGCAACUUUGGAUGCACAGUAGGCAGGAAGGGAGGGAAACAACUUCUGUCUGCCCUAGGAUCCGGGAGACCUUUAAUAAAGUGCCCUGGCUGAAUCCUGGAGAGAGUAUGCUGGAUGUGUUUCUUGCCAUUUUGUUCAGAGUACUUACCACUACUAGACAUUAUAUGUAAACUAAUUGAUUUGUCUUAUCUCCUCUACUAGAAUAAAAACUCCAUGAGAACAGAGCCUUUGUUCACUGUGGUAUGUCUAUUUUAAAGAUUCAUUAAGUAAAAAAAAUUCAUAAGGUUGAGACCAGAUUGUA